AUACUGAAAAUGAAUAUUGUUAGGAAAGUUUUCGAGCAUAGUGCAAUAAAAUCGACCUCGCGGGUAUAAUUUCGAUAACUCAAUAAAAAACGAAGGACUGAAAAGUAAUCGUGUAUGUAGGAGGAUUGUCGUUUUCCACGGGAUACGAUUUCCUGCUUGGUUUUCCAACGUUUGCCUCCUUUCAUCCCCGGAUCCAGGAGGGUGGAACAAAAACGAGCGUCCAGAGGGUAAUAGGGAGAAGAAAUUCCGAGAAACGGAGAAAAUGUUGAAAGAUUCGCGAUAUCGCAACUAACAGAAUUGCAUACAUUCAAAAGAGAAACAG
rnacentral:misc_RNA from 1 species